rnacentral:rRNA from 1 species
UUAUUGCUCUUGAACGAGGAAUCCCUAGUAAGCACAAGUCAUUAGCUUGUGCUGAUUACGUCCCUGCCCUUUGUACACACCGCCCGUCGCUACUACCGAUUGAAUGGCUUAGUGAGGCCUUCGGAUCGAGAUUCGGAGACUGGCAACAGACUCUGGGUUUUGAAAAGUUGGUCAAACUUGGUCAUUUAGAGGAAGUAAAAGUCGUAACAAGGUUUCCGUAGGUGAACCUGCGGAAGGAUCAUUACCAAUCUUAGCGGGCCUGAUCUUUUAUUGAUUAUGGUUCGCGAAAAUCGUAUUUAAAACCCCACUCUUAUUAAAUGAAUCAUUUUAUUUGUAAUAAUAAAUAAAGAUCACUUUCAACAACGGAUCUCUUGGCUCUCGCAUCGAUGAAGAACGUAGCGAAGUGCGAUAAGUAAUGUGAAUUGCAGAAUUCCGUGAAUCAUCGAAUCUUUGAACGCAAAUUGCACUCUCUUCGGAGAGUAUGCCUGUUUGAGGGUCAGUGUAAUGAAUCAAAUCGGGGUGUUGCUUUUUUUGUGAUGCUUUCGGAGUUUGGGUUAUCUUAGCCUUCGGGUUAAGAGGCCUAAAAUUGAGUCACUUUUUGGUCACACUUCUAGGCGUACAUAAAUUUGUUUUUAUUCGUCUAUUCGUGCCAGAAAAUUUUACUAGGUGCGAAUCACGUUUUAUGAUUCCGUGCCUAUAAUUUAUCAUGAUUUGACCUCAAAUCAGGUAGGAGUACCCGCUGAACUUAAGCAUAUCAAUAAGCGGAGGAAAAGAAAAUAACAAUGAUUCCCUUAGUAACUGCGAGUGAAGAGGGACAAGCUCAAAUUUUAAAUCUGUUAGGUUUACCUAACCGAGUUGUAAUUUGAAGAGGCGUUUUCUGCGCAGUUUGGUCAGCCCAAGUCCUAUUGAAUGAGGCAUCAUGGAGGGUGAUAAUCCCGUCCGGCUGAUCAUUGCGUUUUACGAUACGCUUUCUAAGAGUCAAGUUGUUUGGGAUUGCAGCUUAAAAUGGGAGGUAAAUUUCUCCUAAGGCUAAAUAUUGGCGAGAGACCGAUAGCGAACAAGUACCGUGAGGGAAAGAUGAAAAGUACUUUGAAAAGAGAGUUAAAUAGCACGUGAAAUUGUUGAAAGGGAAACGAUUGAAGCCAGUCGUACUUGCGGACAAUCAGCCUUUCGGGUGCGAUUCUGUGGAGCGUGAGGAGUUAAACGCCUUCAUGCCUGCGUAUUUGUACUCUGGGGUGUACUUGGACGUGCGGUAGGUUAACAUCAAUUUCGGAUGUCAUAAAAUGGCUGGAGGAAUGUAGCUUCGGUCUCGUACUGAAGUGUUAUAGCCUUUGGUAGAUGUGAUGACCGGGAUUGAGGAUUGCAACGAAUACCUUUUGGGCUACCCGCCUGAUCUCUGAAAGUUGCUCUGGUGCCGAAAGCUUGCUUACGGUUAUCAAAGUUGACGUUCAAAAGGUUAGAACGGGUUAAAUUCGUUAAGGAUGUUGACGUAAUGGCUUUAAACGACCCGUCUUGAAACACGGACCAAGGAGUCUAACAUAUAUGCGAGUGUU